UUUCCGUAGGUGAACCUGCGGAAGGAUCAUUAUUGAAUGAAACACUUCUGGCUUUAUGCUGUUGUGCUGGCCCUUUGGGCAAUGUGCACACGGCUCUGGUCACUUGUUUCUUCUGUUCCACCUGUGCACUGCCUGUAGACACGCUGUGUCUAUGAUAUUUGUUAACACACAACAAUGUUAGUUGGCAUGUUAUAUAUAAUAAUAAAAUAUACAACUCUCAACAACGGAUCUCUUGGCUCUC
rnacentral:misc_RNA from 1 species